UACGUAGGGUGCGAGCGUUGUCCGGAAUUAUUGGGCGUAAAGAGCUUGUAGGUGGUUUGUCGCGUCUGCUGUGAAAAUCCGAGGCUCAACCUCGGACUUGCAGUGGGUACGGGCAGACUAGAGUGUGGUAGGGGAGACUGGAAUUCCUGGUGUAGCGGUGGAAUGCGCAGAUAUCAGGAGGAACACCGGUGGCGAAGGCGGCAUCCUGGACCAUAACUGACGCUGAGGCGCGAAAGCUAGGGGAGCAAACGGG
rnacentral:rRNA from 1 species